CUUCAUCUCUGACUGGCAUCUUCAAUCGUUGCAGCCUCCUUGGCUGAUGCAGCCUCCUCCCCAUCACCAUCUCCUCCCCGACGUAGUCGCCGUCGCCAGUCAGUCUCCGAUCGACAUCAGGUAAGAUUUUUUUCGUUUAUUGUUGCCGAAGCAAAGAUUCUGCCUUGCUUCAUAUGUUUUUAUUCUUGCUAAUAUCUUUAUUCUUGCUGAAUCUUGAUUCAGAUUCAUCUUUGCUGAAAUAAGCAACAUAGGCAAGUCUAUGCUGAUUUUUCAUGUUGAUUUGUUAAUUAUAGUUCUUGUUAUGUUGAAAUGUCAAUAAUCUUUGCUGAAAUAAAAACCGUUAUUUUCAUUAACUGAAUUUAUUGUUAUGCUGAAUUGGAUGGCUAAGGAGUGAGAUGGAUGUAUAUGCAACUAGUGGUGAUAAUUUAAGAGGGAAAAAAGUUAUGCACAACAGGUGCUCGAUGAAAUGCUUGAGAGAAUAUUGAAGUUUAAUUUAAUUGCAUUUUAUUUGAUCUUGCACAUCUCGAGUAACAAAUGCAAAUAGUCAAAUGGUCUAUGCUUGUAAUCAGAAGCAUGAUGGUAAAAAUAUGAUGUAUUUAUGCUUUUUGAAAUCACACUUGUAUUUGUGGAGCAGGUGAAGCAAAAGCAAACAGGAACCAAGAGAAUGUUGCUCCAAGUGUUGAAUCAAGUUUUUGUGAAGGAACUCCAAAUCAAAAGCAAUUCACAAGGAUGUUAUUUAUAGCUAAAACAAUAUAAUUUUAAUGUUAAUUCAUUUAAUUUGUAAAUAGUAUUUAAAAGUUAUUAAAAAAAUUGCGUUGAAAAACUAUUUUAAUUUUGUAAAAUUAGUUUAUUUAAAUUUUAGUUUAUU
rnacentral:lncRNA from 1 species